rnacentral:rRNA from 1 species
UACGUAGGGUGCGAGCGUUAAUCGGAAUUACUGGGCGUAAAGCGUGCGCAGGCGGUUGGUUAAGUCUGAUGUGAAAGUCCAGGGCUCAACCCUGGGAUGCCGGUCGAUACUGCCGGACUAGAGUUCGGAAGAGGCGAGUGGAAUUCCCGGUGUAGCGGUGAAAUGCGCAGAUAUCGGGAGGAACACCGGUGGCGAAGGCGGGUCUCUGGGCAGUAACUGACGCUGAGGAGCGAAAGCGUGGGUACGAACAGG